GCCAUUGAUACCAUACCGCCGGUAUUGUAUAAUUUGCUUAGUUUUAGUUUUCAUAUAGUAACUGUAUUCUGUUUACUUUGCACUUCGCAAUCAUAUAAGCUUCGCUAAAUUCUCAAGUUAGUGCAGUCUUACAGCGUUAGUGCGUAUAGGAAAAGCUGAAUUUAUCAGCGGCGGCCAGACAACCGUUGAGAUGAAUCCACAGAUGGGUUUCGUUUUUGCUCCUGUCUACUAAUUUCUUCUCACAUUUUGCUGUUAUUAUAUCUGUAGUUUUUUCAAUUUGAUGGUACAAUUUGGAAAUUGGGGCGAGUUAUCAGUACUCGUAUAACCCAAAGUAUCUAUAUCAUCAAGCUGUCUUUGUUGAUGUAGCAUUUGAUUUUUUCUGUUUUCCUUCGGGAAGAUGGGAGGAUUCUAUGUUGUAAUCCGAAGAUGGAGAUCUCAUAUCCUAUAGCCUUGUAGAGCGGAAUCUCUGCUAUUACUAUUUGGGAUUGACCAUGAGAUAUACAUUCAAUUCAACUUAAUUUUCAUAUCUUCAUGCCUGUGAUGAAAUCUAUUAUAAAGAACACCAUCUUUCGGGACUGAAUGGCCCUUAAGGCCUUGUUGUCAAUUCUGCAAUUCUGAGGCUUUUAUAUGUUAUAGUUUUGCUUUGCUUGAACUAUGUGUAAACUGCUUUGUGAUUUGAGAUGGAAGUGAUGAAUAUUUCCCCAGAUGAUCGAAGCUGAAAUUAUUGAGCGCUUUUAUGUAUUUUCUCCUUAUAGGAGAAAAUCCAAGCCAGAAAUUCUGAUCCAUAUACCAAUUUAUGUUUUGUCUUGCUGUUAAUUCAUAUCUUUCAGUGCAAUUAUUCCACUUCCUGUGUCAUUUUUGUUCAAUUUUAGAUGAUUUACAUUGAUUUGGUACAAGUUUUAGUUGUAUUGUAGGACUCAAAAUGCAAAAAUAAUCCACUUGUUUAAUAUUGUUUUUUUUUAUCUAGUGUUUGGGGAUUAUCCAAUGAUGGCAUGAAAUCUUUGAGACCUGAAUUUAUUGAUUUUGAUGUCAACUACAAGCAAUUCUUCUGAGGAUUUUCCCCAUUGUUUGAAUACUGUAUUCUUUUUAACUUUUUAUAUCGAUGUACAAAUGUACUUAGAAAAACUUGAUCAUGAGGUUUUAGAGAUGUCAAUAGUUGGAUCUUGCUAUUAUUUAUGGAUUCAGUCAUUUGAGAUAAAUAAAUGUCACUUUUUGUUUUAUACUUUGAUAUUUCAUUUUGAUGGUAAGACUAUUGAUAUUGGGGCGAGUUUUUUGGUACUCGUAUAAUCCGAUGUAUCCAUAUCAUCAUAGAAUAAGCUGUCUUUGUUGAUUUAGCACUUUGUUUUUUCUGUUUUCCUUUGGGAAGAUUGAAGAAUCCUGUGUUGUAAUCCGAAGAUGGCGAUCUCAUAUCCUAUAGCCUUGUG
rnacentral:misc_RNA from 1 species